AGCAGCCGCGGUAAUUCCAGCUCCAAUAGCGUAUAUUAAAGUUGUUGCAGUUAAAAAGCUCGUAGUUGAAUUUCGGGACCAAUUUGUUGGUCGUGCCUCGGUACGUACUGGUAUUAUUGGUUUCUCCCUUCUGAAGAACCUCGAUGCCAUUAAUUUGGUGUCGUGGGGAAUCAGGACUGUUACUUUGAAAAAAUUAGAGUGUUUAAAGCAAGCAUACGCUUGAAUACAUUAGCAUGGAAUAAUGAAAUAGGACGUUUGAUUCUAUUUUGUUGGUUUCUAGGAUCGACGUAAUGAUUAAUAGGGAUAGUUGGGGGCAUUAGUAUUCAAUUGUCAGAGGUGAAAUUCUUGGAUUUAUUGAAGACUAACUACUGCGAAAGCAUUUGCCAAGGAUGUUUUCAUUAAUCAAGAACGAAAGUUAGGGGAUCGAAGACGAUCAGAUACCGUCGUAGUCUUAACCAUAAACUAUG
rnacentral:rRNA from 1 species